UGUAUAUACAAUUUAGUGUGUAUUUUGGGCCAUGAUGUGUGUCAGUCACUGUAUUGUUUAUCAGAAUAUGUUUAUUUGUAUAACUCUGUAUCCUUUUGUGAGUCAUUCAGUGUGUAUGUUACAGUAUGUCUUUGUGUGUCUGCGUAUCCCUUUUGUGUCAGUCAGUAUGUUUCUCACAGAGUGCAUGUCUUUGUGUAUCUAUGUAUGCAUAUGUAUG